UGCAGUCGAGCGAUGAUGCCCAGCUUGCUGGGUGGAUUAGUGGCGAACGGGUGAGUAAUACGUGAGUAACCUGCCCUUGACUCUGGGAUAAGCCUGGGAAACUGGGUCUAAUACUGGAUACUACUUCCUGCCGCAUGGUGGGUGGUGGAAAGGGUUUUACUGGUUUUGGAUGGGCUCACGGCCUAUCAGCUUGUUGGUGGGGUAAUGGCUCAGCAAGGCGACGACGGGUAGCCGGCCUGAGAGGGUGACCGGCCACACUGGGACUGAGACACGGCCCAGACUCCUACGGGAGGCAGCAGUGGGGAAUAUUGCACAAUGGGCGGAAGCCUGAUGCAGCGACGCCGCGUGAGGGAUGACGGCCUUCGGGUUGUAAACCUCUUUCAGUAGGGAAGAAGCGAGAGUGACGGUACCUGCAGAAGAAGCGCCGGCUAACUACGUGCCAGCAGCCGCGGUAAUACGUAGGGCGCAAGCGUUGUCCGGAAUUAUUGGGCGUAAAGAGCUCGUAGGCGGUUUGUCGCGUCUGCUGUGAAAGCCCGGGGCUCAACCCCGGGUCUGCAGUGGGUACGGACAGACUAGAGUGCAGUAGGGGAGACUGGAAUUCCUGGUGUAGCGGUGAAAUGCGCAGAUAUCAGGAGGAACACCGAUGGCGAAGGCAGGUCUCUGGGCUGUUACUGACGCUGAGGAGCGAAAGCAUGGGGAGCGAACAGGAUUAGAUACCCUGGUAGUCCAUGCCGUAAACGUUGGGCACUAGGUGUGGGGGACAUUCCACGUUAUCCGCGCCGUAGCUAACGCAUUAAGUGCCCCGCCUGGGGAGUACGGCCGCAAGGCUAAAACUCAAAGGAAUUGACGGGGGUCCCGCACAAGCGGCGGAGCAUGACGGAUUAAUUCGAUGCAACGCGAAGAACCUUACCAAGGCUUGACAUUCACCGGACCGCUCCAGAGAUGGGGUUUCCCUUCGGGGUCGGUGGACAGGUGGUGCAUGGUUGUCGUCAGCUCGUGUCGUGAGAUGUUGGGUUAAGUCCCGCAACGAGCGCAACCCUCGUUUUAUGUUGCCAGCACGUGAUGGUGGGGAGUCAUAGGAGACUGCCGGGGUCAACUCGGAGGAAGGUAGGGAGGACGUCAAAUCAUCAUGCCCCUUACGUCUUGGGCUUGACGCAUGCUACAAUGGACGGUACAAAGGGUUGCGAUACUGUGAGGUGGAGCUAAUCCCAAAAAGCAGGUCUCAGUUCAGAUUGAGGUGUGCAACUCGACUUCAUGAAGUCGGAGUCGAUAGUAAUCGCAGAUCAGCACCGCUGCGGUGAAUACGUUCUCGGGCGUUGUACACACCGCCCGUCAAGGGACGAAAGUGGGUAACACCCGAAGGAAGUGGCUUAACCCCUU
rnacentral:rRNA from 1 species